GCCUAUUUCUCAUUCUUAUGGCCGACCAAAGAAGAAAAAAGGAAGAAAAGAAAGAACAAGAACCCUAGGUGAAAAAAUUCAAAGGGAAAGUGUGAAAAAUUCAAGGAAACAAGUGAAUAAGGUAAGAUUUUUUCAAUAAAGCUUGAGAUCUACCUUUCCCAUGCAUUCUUUUUUAUUUUCCAUGCCUGAAUCUUAUGAAAACAUGACGAAUCCCUUGCUGGCCGGACAUGGGGGGAGGAGUUUGAAUGCUUGAUUUUGUUAGAUUUUAAGAUAUGUUAGUGUUUUUAGUUAGUUAAUAAUGUGUAGCAUGAAAAACCAACAAGAAAAAUUCAUUUUCUCCCAUUACCGAUCAUUGGCCGAAUUCUCCAUGUGGAAUAUUGAUGAUGAUUUUGAUUGUUAUUUCAAGUGAUUUGGCUAGGAAAUGAUGAAUUUCGGUGAUAAAAUCAAGUAGGAAAAAUUAUAGUAUUGAUGCACCCAUCAUGACCAAAAUUCCUAAGAGAAAAUGUGAAGGUGAUGUUGCUAAAUUUUAUGCUAUUGAAUUUGUGAUUAAUGGUUUGGAGAAUUGGAAGAAAAAUGGAGUUAAUUGGAGUUGAAUUGGCCAAUUAAUUAAGUGAUAGAUCGAAUUAGGCGAACACCGUAUUUGGACGAUAAUCCGAACAAUUUGCAUUCCAUUUCAUGCAUCCAUAUAGUUUUAUAACGGUUUAGCACCAAUGUGGUAAAUUGCUUGAUUUUUGCACCAUAUCUAGGUGGUGAAUCCUCCGCUAAGGGCAAAGAAAUUGUACCUGAGGAUUAGUACUCAGAGUACUUGUGAUACCCCAUAUUUUGAAACAGUGAUUAAUAAAGUUGAUCAGAUGCAAAUUGAGAUCAAUUAUAAUGUUUAAAAGUGAUGAAAGAUGAAAGGAAUAGUUUAGGAUAAACUAUUCCGCACGCGAGGAAAUAACAAUAAAAUAAUAAUAUUUUUAUCGAAAGAGAAUUUGUGAGAUAAAAGGUGAUUCGAAAGUCAAUUGAGGUAUAAUAAGGUAUUUUAGGUACCAAGGAGACAAGAGGAAAUUUUUAAAAUAAAAUAAUAUUUUAUUAAUAAAAUAAUAUUCAAAUAUUAAUAUUUAACCAGAUGUUGAAAUCAAAAUCAGUCAUGAAGAAGGAUCAUAUGAUUGAUCCAAGUGGGGGAGAAGAAAUACAAAUAAAUUUUUGGAAAUGAGCGACGAAAGUGAAAUACGCGUGUUUUGCUAAGUCGAGCCAACGUGGAUAAGUGGAUAUUUAAAUAUUAUUGUAAUAUCACGUUGAAGUGCAAUUUUGAUAAUUUGGUAGUACACGUACGGAGAGAGGAAGAUAGAUAAAAAUUAAAAUUUUUAGAUGCAUCGAAGAGAUCGAAUUUAAAGUAUAAAAGUUGAAAGAUUAUGUAGAGAAAUUAAAUGGUAGAGAUAAAAUAAAUGAAUGGUAAAAAUAAUAAUACAAGUAUGUAUAUAAAUAUAUAUAUAUAUAUAUAUAUAUAUAUAAUAUAGGAGGACUAACAUGGGCAGCCGCCCAUGUGGUCAAUAAAAAGAGUCAAAAGACUCUUUAAUUUAAUUGAUGGAAAUAGGGGUCGGCCAUGUGGAACAAAAUGAAAAAAGGAAGAAAAAUGUGAGGGGCUGGCCAAGUUAGAAUAAAAUAUAUAUAUAUAUAUAUAUAUGGGUGAAUAAGUAAAGUGAAGAAGACAAGAUGAAAGACAGAAGUCGGUUAGUUAAGAGAAGAAAAAGAAACAAGAAGAAGGCGUGAGCAAAGAGAACAAAAAGAAACAAGAGAAGGUCGAGUAAUGAGGAAGAAAAGGAAGGUGAAAGAGCUGAGUUGAGGGGGGCGAUUUUGCUACCAUUUAAGGAGGAAAAGAGAGCAAUUUUUCUGUCCAUUUAAGGGGUGAGAGGAGCAGCUUUAGCUAUUGAUUUUGAAGGCUGAAAAGUGCAAUUUUGCUGCUGGUUUUGGAGAUUGAGAAGUGCAGAUUUUUGCAGUUGAUUUUGAAGCUUGUAAGGUGCGAUUUUGGUUGUUAAUCUUUGUUGUUUUGGCUGCUGAUUUUUUGAGAGAAAAUAGAGCAGCUUAGCUGCUGAUUUUUGAGAAGAAAUAGAGCAGCUUAGUUGUUGAUUUUGAAGUCAAUAUGAGCAGCCUUAGCUGCUGAAAACUGAAGGUUGAAAAAGUAAGAGAGUGUGGCUGACUGUGAGAGGGAGAGAAAGGAGGAAAUUUGGGAUAGCUUGUGCAUGUGAGAAAAGAAAAAGAAAGACAAGCAAGGGCUGCUGGACGGUGGAAGAAAGAAAGAAAAAAAAGAAAACAAACGAAAAGAAAAGAACAAGAAAGAAAAAUGGGCAUGGCCCAACAAGAAAGAAAAAUGGGCAUGGCCCAAUGGAAAGAAGUUGAGGAGAGAUCAUAAAAGAGCCUAAUAGCCAUAAAGGAAGAAAAGCCCAAGAGAGAAUGAAGGUGGAAAAAAAAAAUGGAUUUGAACUAAUCUAGUCCAAAAAGGUAAAGAAACUUUUCUUUGCUUUUAUUUGGCCUAUUAUGAAAUUGUAUUAUUUUAAGUUAACCAUUUGUUUAAUUAAAUUUUUUAUUAUUAGUGAUAUGAAUUAAAUUUAAGUUACUUUAAUAUAAUAUUUGAAAAUUUUAUUAGGAGGUGUCAUAGGACUAAAGUAAAGAAGAAAAUGUGAAACUUAUGAAUAGUGCUCGAAUAAAGUUAAGAAAUUUUAAAUGAUUCGUUGUGAAGAAUUAUUGAUGUCGGAGGAAUUUAGAUGCAUAAUUUGGUUGAGAGUGUUAAGUUGAAUGGUAAAAUAUUGGAAGAAAUGAGGAGAAAAAAUGUAGAUUUAUGAUAGAAUGAGAGAGAGAAGUGGAAUUGAUGCACUAAGUACAUUGGAUUUAAAUUAUUGCUAGGAAAGUUUGUUGUGGGAGCGUGUCGAAAACGACGUAGGUGACUGGCAAAUCGGAAUAAUUAUGCUAGUACGAAUCAAUAGCGUCGUAGAAAUCCCGUUAUUGUGAAGUGAGUAACCUUAUCAUCAUUUUAAUUAUCUAAAGUAGUCUUUUUAUUCGAUUUUUGUGAAUUCUAUAGAAAAUGAGUUUAAUGGUUAAUUUUUAGGUUUUAUAAACAAAAUGUAUUUAAAUGGAAUGAUUUUAUAAAUUGUCUUGAAAUUGAAUGAUGGCUUUGAAAAUAGAGUAAUUGGAGACCACUUGAUAUGUUGUAAAUUUAUAGUUUUAAUUGAUUGGCUUAUUGCAAUAUUGGCAUGACUGGUUGAAUUGCUAAAUGUGAUGAAAAUGCAUGAAUUAUUGAUUUACCUUGAGAGGUUGUAAAAUAAAAUAAUUGCAUGUCAUGCUAUUGUAAAAUUUAUUGUAUGGUGGGUUUAGCUUGCUGCAGUGGGCGGGUUUUGUGGACCAACCUAUUUGAGGGGCACGGAAUCCGAUUAUAUUCAUACCUUGGUCGAAGAGGCACGUAAGCUAUCUCCUGACGUAUGGUUAAAGUUCACAUCACGCCUAACCACCUCGUGAUGAUGAACUUCGCUAACGUCAAAGAAUGGUUGUGUUUUCAAAAUGAAAUAAAAAUAUGUUUUACGUGUAUAUAAAAUUUUUAACAGCCUUGGCGGGCUUGAGUGUAUGCCUCUGAUCAAGGUGUCAUCGAGUACUAUUUGAUGGCAUGAGCCAAAUGUUUAUGAAAGUCAUAAGCUUUAAUGAGAAAUUAAAUGAAAUACAACCGUUUGCAUGGGUUGGGAUGAAUUUUCAAAUUGUGAAAUACGUAAUGUGAUGGGACAUUUUGAUUGUCUCCUUUUACUCGGCUUUAGCUGAUUUAAAUGAUGUUUUUUUACUCACUGGGAUUUUAUAAUCUCACCACCCUCCUUUCCACCCAUUUUAGGCUCAGAAUAGACUGUAGAUAGCUGAUAUCAUCGAGGACUACAGUUGGACUUGCAUCAUCCAAAAACUGUAGGUUCAUUUCUUUUGAAACUUUUGGUCAUUCGUGGGCCCACGUAUCACUGUAAAUUAAAUUUUAUACUUUGGUUAUCUGUAUUACAGUAUGUAUGAAUUUAUUUAGCUUUUACGCUACAAAAAUUAUUUACCGG
rnacentral:lncRNA from 1 species